CCUACGGGAGGCAGCAGUGGGGGAUAUUGCACAAUGGAGGAAACUCUGAUGCAGCGACGCCGCGUGAGCGAUGAAGUAUUUCGGUAUGUAAAGCUCUAUCAGCAGGGAAGAAAAUGACGGUACCUGACUAAGAAGCCCCGGCUAACUACGUGCCAGCAGCCGCGGUAAUACGUAGGGGGCAAGCGUUAUCCGGAUUUACUGGGUGUAAAGGGAGCGUAGACGGUGUGGCAAGUCUGAUGUGAAAGGCAUGGGCUCAACCUGUGGACUGCAUUGGAAACUGUCAUACUUGAGUGCCGGAGGGGUAAGCGGAAUUCCUAGUGUAGCGGUGAAAUGCUUAGAUAUCACGAAGAACUCCGAUUGCGAAGGCAGCCUGCUAAGCUGCAACUGACAUUGAGGCUCGAAAGUGUGGGUAUCAAACAGGAUU
rnacentral:rRNA from 1 species